rnacentral:rRNA from 1 species
GACGAACGCUGGCGGCGUGCUUAACACAUGCAAGUCGAACGAUGAUGCCCAGCUUGCUGGGUGGAUUAGUGGCGAACGGGUGAGUAACACGUGAGUAACCUGCCCCUGACUCUGGGAUAAGCGUUGGAAACGACGUCUAAUACUGGAUAUGAUCACUGGCCGCAUGGUCUGGUGGUGGAAAGAUUUUUUGGUUGGGGAUGGACUCGCGGCCUAUCAGCUUGUUGGUGAGGUAAUGGCUCACCAAGGCGACGACGGGUAGCCGGCCUGAGAGGGUGACCGGCCACACUGGGACUGAGACACGGCCCAGACUCCUACGGGAGGCAGCAGUGGGGAAUAUUGCACAAUGGGCGAAAGCCUGAUGCAGCAACGCCGCGUGAGGGAUGACGGCCUUCGGGUUGUAAACCUCUUUUAGUAGGGAAGAAGCGAAAGUGACGGUACCUGCAGAAAAAGCACCGGCUAACUACGUGCCAGCAGCCGCGGUGAUACGUAGGGUGCAAGCGUUGUCCGGAAUUAUUGGGCGUAAAGAGCUCGUAGGCGGUUUGACGCGUCUGCUGUGAAAUCCCGAGGCUCAACCUCGGGCUUGCAGUGGGUACGGGCAGACUAGAGUGCGGUAGGGGAGAUUGGAAUUCCUGGUGUAGCGGUGGAAUGCGCAGAUAUCAGGAGGAACACCGAUGGCGAAGGCAGAUCUCUGGGCCGUAACUGACGCUGAGGAGCGAAAGCAUGGGGAGCAAACAGGAUUAGAUACCCUGGUAGUCCAUGCCGUAAACGUUGGGCGCUAGAUGUAGGGACCUUUCCACGGUUUCUGUGUCGUAGCUAACGCAUUAAGCGCCCCGCCUGGGGAGUACGGCCGCAAGGCUAAAACUCAAAGGAAUUGACGGGGGCCCGCACAAGCGGCGGAGCAUGCGGAUUAAUUCGAUGCAACGCGAAGAACCUUACCAAGGCUUGACAUACACCGGAAACGGCCAGAGAUGGUCGCCCCCUUGUGGUCGGUGUACAGGUGGUGCAUGGUUGUCGUCAGCUCGUGUCGUGAGAUGUUGGGUUAAGUCCCGCAACGAGCGCAACCCUCGUUCUAUGUUGCCAGCGGGUUAUGCCGGGGACUCAUAGGAGACUGCCGGGGUCAACUCGGAGGAAGGUGGGGAUGACGUCAAAUCAUCAUGCCCCUUAUGUCUUGGGCUUCACGCAUGCUACAAUGGCCGGUACAAAGGGCUGCGAUACCGUAAGGUGGAGCGAAUCCCAAAAAGCCGGUCUCAGUUCGGAUUGAGGUCUGCAACUCGACCUCAUGAAGUCGGAGUCGCUAGUAAUCGCAGAUCAGCAACGCUGCGGUGAAUACGUUCCCGGGCCU